rnacentral:rRNA from 1 species
CUGGGCUUGACAUGCACGGGAAUGUCGUAGAAAUACGGCAGCCCUUCGGGGCUCGUGCACAGGUGGUGCAUGGCUGUCGUCAGCUCGUGUCGUGAGAUGUUGGGUUAAGUCCCGCAACGAGCGCAACCCUUAUCGAUAGUUGCUACCAGGUUAUGCUGGGCACUCUAUUGAAACUGCCGGUGACAAGCCGGAGGAAGGCGGGGAUGACGUCAAGUCCUCAUGGCCCUUACGGCCUGGGCUACACACGUGCUACAAUGGACGGUACAAAGCGCAGCGAACCCGCGAGGGGGAGCCAAUCGCAAAAAACCGAUCGUAGUCCGGAUCGCAGUCUGCAACUCGACUGCGUGAAGUCGGAAUCGCUAGUAAUCGCGAAUCAGAAUGUCGCGGUGAAUACGUUCCC